rnacentral:rRNA from 1 species
UACAGAGACUGCAAGCGUUAUUCGGAUUCACUGGGCGUAAAGGGUGCGCAGGCGGCCGAGUGUGUGAGGCGUGAAAGCCCGGGGCUUAACCCCGGAAUUGCACCUCAAACUACACGGCUAGAGCAUUGGAGAGGGUAGCAGAAUUCAUGGUGUAGCAGUGAAAUGCGUAGAUAUCAGGAGGAACACCGGUGGCGAAGGCGGGUCUCUGGGCCGAUACUGACGCUGAGGAGCGAAAGCGUGGGGAGCGAACAGG